rnacentral:lncRNA from 13 species
GGACUAGACGUCCCCACCCAAAUUUUAUGUUGAAUUAGAAUUCUAGAGUUAGAGGAAGGGCCUGGUGGGAGAUGACUAAAUCAUGGGGAUGGACUUUCCCCUUGCUGUUCUCACAAUAGUGAAUUUCCACAAGAUCUGGUUGUUAUAAAGUAUGGAGACUAUGCCCCAUAAAGCACUGUUGAAAACAAUUUUAAAACAGGCUGGGCAUGGCGUGUAAUCCCAGCACUUUGGGAGGCCAAGGUGAGUGGAUCUCUUGAGGCCAGGAGUUUGAGACCAGCCGGGCCAACACAGUGAAACCCCAUCUCUACUAAAAAUAGAAAAACUUAGCUAAGUGUGCUGGCGGGCACCUGUAAUCCCAGCCACUUAGUUGGCUGAGACAGGAGAAUCGUUUGAGCCAAGGAGGCUAGGUCGCAGUGAGCUGAGAUCAUGCCACUGCACUGCAGCCUUGCUGACAGAGAGACUCUUCUCAAAAAAGUAAAUUGAAAAAACUUAGAAAGAAACUUAGAAAGAAGGAUGAUAUCCAGACAACAACAGCACACAGGAAGGAGUCUUUACAGCACAGAAGCUGUCUACCCCUCCUUGAGCAUCUAAACCUGCCCUGGCUCAACACAGCAUGCCUGUGUGCCUUACCCCAGGUAGUGAUCCAUAAGCCCGUGGGGUAGGGGAUUUUCCAGAGAGACUCUGUGACUCCCCUGAGACCACCCCGCCAGCUGUGCACCAUGCAGAACAAAAAUACAAGAGACAUGCUGAUAGCAAGCUGUCAGCCCUCCACCUUCCUUCUGGAUGCUGGGCUGCUUUCUGUUUCUCUGUUUCCCACAGCAACCAGAAAGAUCACUAUGAUCGCCCAUAUUAAAGAUGAGGCAACAGAGUCAGAGAUGAAGAGGAGUGCAGAUGUGAGCCCAAGCCCUGCCUGCUCUCCCAGUAAUCCUGCCCCUGCUUCCUGCCCUGCUCCCGCCACCUGCCAAAGCUGCCACCCAUGCCCACGCAAGGCCUUGAGAUGCAAACAUGAAAAGUCUCAGCAGCUCCAAAGGCAGGAGCACAGGUCGGGGAUUGUCAGCACAGAAGUGGCUAUGUCCGGCGCGGCCAAGUCGCAGAAGCAAAGGCUCUGCACAGCAUGGGUGCCUGGAGGAGACGUGCUGGCCCAUAGAACGAUUGGUCAGGUCACCCUGUCCCAGCGGGACAGUGGACUGGCUCCAUGCCUUACCCUGGGCCCUGGCCAGCAACCAUCCUGGACUCAGCCAGAUGCCUCCAAUAUCUCGUUCCUCUGGCACCUGGGCCGCUGUCGUCAGGGGAGACAGGGCUAUUUGUCAAGCUCAGGAGAGUCACCAAGGCUUGCCGUUCCUGCAGGGAAGCCUGGCCAAUGCCUCCUCCAAGCAUACCUGAGGGGCUAAAAAACAAUCUUCUCACCGUCCAAGUACACUGCCUCCAUUGAAGAGGAGAGAGGGGUGCAGAAGAAAUGCGAUUUUGAUCCAUCGUUCAUACCCUAAAGAUGCCACUUCAGUUUGAUGAGGCAGAGACACAUCUCUCUUUACUGGCGAUUGAGACGUUGAGAUGGGCACAUGGGCAGCUGUCCAGGGAGGGGCGCAGCUUGGACAUGCUUAGUCACAUUGGCAGCAGGGGAAAGAAAUAGGGCAGCUGCCAGCCUGGGGACCGGGAGAUGACAGCUUCAGUAAUAGCAGAGGGCUCUGGGCUCAAUGGACUCCCCGUCUCUCUGCUUUGAAACAUGCAAAUUACGGCCAUCCCUGCAAGUAAAACACCAACCUGGGUCUCCGCGGCUGCCUCCUUGACAAUUGACUGUUGAUGGGUCACUUUGACGUGUGAGUCCAAGCACCGAGCUGGCAUCUGGCUUCCAUUAAGGGCAAUUUGUACGUGUUUUCCUCUUUUACCCAAAUAAGCGUUCCUCACCCAUGUCACCUCCUCAAUAUCCCAGGCGUGUGUUGGCCUCACUGAAGGUGUUUCAUCUCGGCCGAAAGGACAGGACAGCAGCCCCUGUGACACCUGCAGAGGUAUCCAGGGAAGCCUCUCCUCUGCUCUGGCAUUAGGCGAGCCUUGAGUCUCCACAUUCUGUAAAAAAGUCUAUUUUGGUCACUGAGGGGGCUGGAAGGGGGAGAUGAAAGAGGGGUUGAUUCUGGCAGGGUGCCCAGCACAUGCAGAGACUACAGGGAAAUGUCCUCUCCUUAGAAGCAAGAGGCACACCCAAGGCUCUGCAUUUGUGGCCACCUGGCACAGCUCACUGGGGCCAAGAGGAAAAAUGUCAGGUUCAAGACAGAGGACAGUGUUGCUUCUAAAAAGAGGGCAGAGCCUUCAGAAGGACAGACUUCAGAAGGGGAUUGGAAUCCCCCACGUUGGUGGAGGGGCCUGAGAAGCCUCUCUGGGCUGUCCAGAUCUGAA